rnacentral:rRNA from 1 species
UACGUAGGGGGCAAGCGUUGUCCGGAAUCAUUGGGCGUAAAGAGCGUGUAGGCGGCCAGAAAAGUCCGCUGUGAAAACUCGAGGCUCAACUUCGAGCUGUCGGUGGAAACUUUCUGGCUAGAGUCCGGAAGAGGAGAAUGGAAUUCCUGGUGUAGCGGUGAAAUGCGCAGAUAUCAGGAGGAACACCGGUGGCGAAGGCGGAUCUCUGGGCCAUUACUGACGCUGAGGAGCGAAAGCGUGGGGAGCGAACAGG